rnacentral:rRNA from 1 species
UACGUAGGGUGCAAGCGUUGUCCGGAAUUAUUGGGCGUAAAGAGCUCGUAGGCGGUCUGUCGCGUCGGAUGUGAAAAUCCAGGGCUCAACCCUGGACCUGCAUUCGAUACGGGCAGACUAGAGUUCGGCAGGGGAGACUGGAAUUCCUGGUGUAGCGGUGAAAUGCGCAGAUAUCAGGAGGAACACCGGUGGCGAAGGCGGGUCUCUGGGCCAUUACUGACGCUGAGGAGCGAAAGCGUGGGGAGCGAACAGG